rnacentral:rRNA from 1 species
GAUGAACGCCGGCGGCGUGCCUAAUACAUGCAAGUCGAGCGAACGGACGAGAGGCUUGCUUCUCUGAUGUUAGCGGCGGACGGGUGAGUAACACGUGGAUAACCUACCUAUAAGACUGGGAUAACUUCGGGAAACCGGAGCUAAUACCGGAUAAUAUUUUGAACCGCAUGGUUCAAAAGUGAAAGACGGUCUUGCUGUCACUUAUAGAUGGAUCCGCGCUGCAUUAGCUAGUUGGUAAGGUAACGGCUUACCAAGGCAACGAUGCAUAGCCGACCUGAGAGGGUGAUCGGCCACACUGGAACUGAGACACGGUCCAGACUCCUACGGGAGGCAGCAGUAGGGAAUCUUCCGCAAUGGGCGAAAGCCUGACGGAGCAACGCCGCGUGAGUGAUGAAGGUCUUCGGAUCGUAAAACUCUGUUAUUAGGGAAGAACAUAUGUGUAAGUAACUGUGCACAUCUUGACGGUACCUAAUCAGAAAGCCACGGCUAACUACGUG